rnacentral:rRNA from 1 species
GAUGAACGCUAGCGGCAGGCUUAAUACAUGCAAGUUGAGGGGCAGCAUGAUAUACGCGAGUAUAUUGAUGGCGACCGGCGGACGGGUGAGUAAUAGGUAGGAGACCUACCUCAUACAGGGGGAUAGCAUAGAGAAAUCUGUGGUAAUACCCCAUGAGGUUAUAUGAAUAGAGGCAUAUAAUCAAAGCAUAAGCGAUUAUGCGGUAUGAGAGGGGCCUACUGACCAUUAGCUAGUUGGUGAGGUAAGGGCUCACCAAGGCGAAGAUGGUUAGGGGUUUUGAGAGAGAGACCCCCCACAUUGGAACUGAGAGACGGUCCAGACUCCUACGGGAGGCAGCAGUAGGGAAUAUUGGGCAAUGGGCGAAAGCCUGACCCAGCCAUGCCGCGUGAAGGAAGACGGCCUUAUGGGUUGUAAACUUCUUUACUACGCGAAUAGAGGUUAGUACGAGAUACUAAUAGGAAGGUAGUGUAGUAAAAGCACCGGCUAACUACGUGCC